rnacentral:lncRNA from 1 species
AUCUUCUAUUUUCUGCCUCCUAAUUUUGUCUUAUGUUCAUUGUAGUUUGCUCUUCAAGGUGAGACUUACCUUUUGAUCAGAAGUUCCCAUUCCCGAAGUCCUUGGAUGGCACAAGACAAGACAGAAAAAUCUCCAGAAUUCCAAAUAUGCAAAAGGCCUUGGCACAGCCCAAACACCAGGACUCAUAAACACUCUGUAGAAGAGAGCAGCGGCUGCUCAGUGAAAGGCACAGGAGCAAAGCCACCUACUCUCAUUUUUCCCAGCGCGAUGUUGCGAUGCUGUGAACUUGGUGAGUCAUUUUAUGAAGGUUUACUACAAAGCCCUAAUCUGCAUAUUCUUCUAAUACAUUUCUAUUAAAUCUUUCUUUUUCC